rnacentral:rRNA from 1 species
UGGGAUACCACUUGGAAACAGGUGCUAAUACCGGAUAACAACAAUAGCUGCAUGGCUAUUGCUUAAAAGGCGGCGAAAGCUGUCGCUAAAGGAUGGACCCGCGGUGCAUUAGCUAGUUGGUAAGGUAAUGGCUUACCAAGGCGACGAUGCAUAGCCGAGUUGAGAGACUGAUCGGCCACAUUGGGACUGAGACACGGCCCAAACUCCUACGGGAGGCAGCAGUAGGGAAUCUUCCACAAUGGGCGAAAGCCUGAUGGAGCAACGCCGCGUGAGUGAAGAAGGUUUUCGGAUCGUAAAGCUCUGUUGUUGGUGAAGAAGGAUAGAGGUAGUAACUGGCCCCUAUUUGACGGUAAUCAACCAGAAAGUCACGGCUAACUACGUGCCAGCAGCCGCGGUAAUACGUAGGUGGCAAGCGUUGUCCGGAUUUAUUGGGCGUAAAGCGAGCGCAGGCGGAAAGAUAAGUCUGAUGUGAAAGCCCCCGGCUUAACCGAGGAAUUGCAUCGGAAACUGUGUUUCUUGAGUGCAGAAGAGGAGAGUGGAACUCCAUGUGUAGCGGUGGAAUGCGUAGAUAUAUGGAAGAACACCGGUGGCGAAGGCGGCUCUCUGGUCUGUAACUGACGCUGAGGCUCGAAAGCAUGGGUAGCGAACAGGAUUAGAUACCCUGGUAGUCCAUGCCGUAAACG